UGACGAGUGGCGGACGGGUGAGUAAUGCUUGGGAACUUGCCUUUGCGAGGGGGAUAACAGUUGGAAACGACUGCUAAUACCGCAUAAUGUCUUCGGACCAAACGGGGCUUCGGCUCCGGCGCAAAGAGAGGCCCAAGUGAGAUUAGCUAGUUGGUAAGGUAACGGCUUACCAAGGCGACGAUCUCUAGCUGUUCUGAGAGGAAGAUCAGCCACACUGGGACUGAGACACGGCCCAGACUCCUACGGGAGGCAGCAGUGGGGAAUAUUGCACAAUGGGGGAAACCCUGAUGCAGCCAUGCCGCGUGUGUGAAGAAGGCCUUCGGGUUGUAAAGCACUUUCAGUUGUGAGGAAAAGUUAGUAGUUAAUACCUGCUAGCCGUGACGUUAACAACAGAAGAAGCACCGGCUAACUCCGUGCCAGCAGCCGCGGUAAUACGGAGGGUGCGAGCGUUAAUCGGAAUUACUGGGCGUAAAGCGCACGCAGGCGGUUUGUUAAGCUAGAUGUGAAAGCCCCGGGCUCAACCUGGGAUGGUCAUUUAGAACUGGCAGACUAAAGUCUUGGAGAGGGGAGUGGAAUUCCAGGUGUAGCGGUGAAAUGCGUAGAUAUCUGGAGGAACAUCAGUGGCGAAGGCGACUCCCUGGCCAAAGACUGACGCUCAUGUGCGAAAGUGUGGGUAGCGAACAGGAUUAGAUACCCUGGUAGUCCACACCGUAAACGCUGUCUACUAGCUGUGUGUGCCUUUAAGGCGUGCGUAGCGAAGCUAACGCGCUAAGUAGACCGCCUGGGGGAGUACGGCCGCAAGGUUAAAACUCAAAUGAAUUGACGGGGGCC
rnacentral:rRNA from 1 species